UACAGAGGGUGCGAGCGUUGUUCGGAAUUAUUGGGCGUAAAGCGCUGGUAGGUGGCUUGUUAAGUCGCGUGUGAAAGCUCCAGGCUCAACCUGGAAAGUGCGCGCGAAACUGGCGAGCUUGAGUGCCGGAGAGGGUCGCGGAAUUCCCGGUGUAGAGGUGAAAUUCGUAGAUAUUCGGAAGAACACCAGUGGCGAAGGCGACUCACUGGACACGUAUUGACGCUGAGGUGCGAAAGCGUGGGGAGCAAACGGG
rnacentral:rRNA from 1 species